rnacentral:rRNA from 1 species
UACGUAGGGGGCUAGCGUUGUCCGGAAUCAUUGGGCGUAAAGCGCGCGUAGGCGGCCCGGUAAGUCCGCUGUAAAAGUCAAAGGCUCAACCUUUGAAUGUCAGUGGAUACUGUCGGGCUAGAGUCCGGAAGAGGCGAGUGGAACUCCUGGUGUAGCGGUGGAAUGCGCAGAUAUCAGGAAGAACACCAACGGCGAAGGCAGCUCGCUGGGACGGUACUGACGCUGAGACGCGAAAGCGUGGGGAGCGAACAGG